rnacentral:rRNA from 1 species
AUUGAACGCUGGCGGAAUGCUUUACACAUGCAAGUCGAACGGCAGCACGGGGCAACCUGGUGGCGAGUGGCGAACGGGUGAGUAAUACAUCGGAACGUGCCCAAUCGUGGGGGAUAACGUAGCGAAAGUUACGCUAAUACCGCAUACGAUCUACGGAUGAAAGCGGGGGAUCGCAAGACCUCGCGCGAAUGGAGCGGCCGAUGUCAGAUUAGGUAGUUGGUGGGGUAAAGGCUCACCAAGCCAACGAUCUGUAGCUGGUCUGAGAGGACGACCAGCCACACUGGAACUGAGACACGGUCCAGACUCCUACGGGAGGCAGCAGUGGGGAAUUUUGGACAAUGGGCGCAAGCCUGAUCCAGCCAUUCCGCGUGCAGGAUGAAGGCCUUCGGGUUGUAAAGCACUUUUGUAGUAGGAUGAGGAAGGACGGUACGUCUCAGAAUAAGUCUCGGCUAACUACGUGCCAGCAGCCGCGGUAAGCACGAGAGUA